rnacentral:rRNA from 1 species
UACGUAGGGUGCGAGCGUUGUCCGGAAUUAUUGGGCGUAAAGGGCUCGUAGGCGGUUUGUCGCGUCAGGGGUGAAAACUCGGGGCUUAACCCCGAGCCUGCUUCUGAUACGGGCAGACUAGAGGUAUGCAGGGGAGAACGGAAUUCCUGGUGUAGCGGUGAAAUGCGCAGAUAUCAGGAGGAACACCGGUGGCGAAGGCGGUUCUCUGGGCAUUACCUGACGCUGAGGAGCGAAAGUGUGGGGAGCGAACAGG